rnacentral:lncRNA from 1 species
UUGCCUCAUUGGGAUUUCAAAGAAUCUUUUGUUAUUAAAGUUGUGUUUAUGUUACUUUGGUUGUCAAAAUAUUUAAUUUUCAAUAUCUUUUUCUUGGUUUCUUGGGCUACUCCCACUCCAUAAAACUGAAUUAAGCUUUAAGAAUAAAGAAUGUAGGGCUGCUAACUUGAAAUGAUUUUCGUUCUGCUCUCUUAUAUAAAAUAUUUUGAAAAUCUUUUGGAUCUAGGGAGUUAGUUUUUAGAUCUCAAUUGGAUUUAUUACAUGAAAUUGGAGCUCAUUUGCUAUGUUUUUUCAAUUGAUUUACUACAUGCAUCAAACUUUAUUUCUUCUUGAACUGAAGCUAUAAUACAAUUCUGUGUUAUUUGAACUUGAGAAUCAAGGUUUUUUUUUUCUAUAUAAACUAAUCUAUAUUGAGGGAAACUGGAUGCAUUCUUUCCCAUAUAAAACUUUACUUUACCCAUUGAUUACCUCAUGGUGAAAUUGUUUCGAGCAAUGGACAUGUUUACAAUGUGAGGUAUGAUAGUUAUGAAGGUGUGGAAAGGGUAUAUGGAAGGUUUGCUAGGCCUUUUGUGCCUGCGAUCGAUUCGCAGAAUUGGGUGAGUGGUGAUAUUAUGGAUGUUUUUGAUGAAAAUUCUCAAAAAGUUGCAAUGGUUUCGAAAGUCUUGAAAGGAGGUCGGUUUAAGUGAUUGCUUUAUCAGUUUACUCAUGAAACUAGGGCCCAUCGAAUAUAGAUUUCCAAUUGCGAAGAUUUCAUGAAGCAAUGGGGUUGAGCCAAUGAUUUGUCAAAAGAUGAAGAUUGCUUACAUGUGUACAACGAUAAUUACAGAAGCGGAAGAGAUCUUCCCUGUUUGGCUCCUCUAUUCUCGGAGUUAAGAGACUCUAACACGCUGAGAAAGAUGACAGUCAAAGUGAAAGGUGUGUUAUUCAUUUGAAAAGGUAGAUGCUUAUGAAGGUAACAAAUGCAUGCAAGCAUCCUUUCACAAUUGUAGCCUUUUGACUAAAGAAUGGCAUACUGCAACUAUGAAAACAAUUAUUAUUUUGU